rnacentral:rRNA from 1 species
UACGUAGGGUGCAAGCGUUGUCCGGAAUUAUUGGGCGUAAAGAGCUCGUAGGCGGUCAUUCGCGUCUGCUGUGAAAACUCGGGGCUUAACUCCGGGCCUGCAGUGGGUACGGGCUGACUAGAGUGCGGUAGGGGAGACUGGAAUUCCUGGUGUAGCGGUGAAAUGCGCAGAUAUCAGGAGGAACACCGGUGGCGAAGGCGGGUCGCUGGGCCGUAACUGACGCUGAGGAGCGAAAGCGUGGGGAGCGAACAGG